GCCUACGGGGGGCAGCAGUGAGGAAUAUUGGUCAAUGGCCGGAAGGCUGAACCAGCCAAGCCGCGUGAAGGACGAAGGUGCCAAGCAUUGUAAACUUCUUUUGUCAAGGGACAAAAUCAGGCUCGAGAGCCUGACCGAGGGUACUUGAAGAAAAAGCAUCGGCUAACUCCGUGCCAGCAGCCGCGGUAAUACGGAGGAUGCGAGCGUUAUCCGGAUUUAUUGGGUUUAAAGGGUGCGUAGGCGGACUGUUAAGUCAGCGGUAAAAGCCCGGGGCUCAACCCCGGCAAGCCGUUGAAACUGGCUGU
rnacentral:rRNA from 1 species